rnacentral:hammerhead_ribozyme from 1 species
AUUCAGCUGACGAGUCGCAAAUGCGACGAAACAUGCGUCCUUGAU